UUUUCUGAAUGAUGCUGUGGCCGGGCAGACUCAAACAGAAAUUGACAACUCCAGCAUGCAGAGGAGGAGACAAUGGCUUGGAAUCCUUGAGUGUAAUGAAGCUGUGGGUGCCUGGGAAUCCAGAACUCCCUAGAAUAUGGUUCCAAGACUCCCUCUAAAGCUGUUGAGGAUUCUCCCCUUCGUUUGGCCUCCUAGAGAUCCAGCUAUGCCUCCACACCAUGUCUGCCUGCGUGCCGCCGUGCUUCCCGCCAUGACGACAAUGGACUAAACCUCUGAGCUGUGAGCCAGCCCCAGUUAAAUGUCUUCCUUUGUAAGAACGUCUAUCCACAUGGGCAUGGUGUCUAUUCGCAACAAUAAAACCCUAACUAAGGCAGUGAGGUAUUAUUCUGUUGGAGUUAGUACUGUGGUUAAGCUAUUAGGCUGAAAUUAA